rnacentral:rRNA from 1 species
UACAGAGGGUGCAAGCGUUAAUCGGAAUUACUGGGCGUAAAGCGCACGUAGGUGGAUAUUUAAGUUGGAUGUGAAAGCCCCGGGCUCAACCUGGGAUGGUCAUUCAAAACUGGGUAUCUAGAGUAUGGUAGAGGGAAGUGGAAUUUCAGGUGUAGCGGUGAAAUGCGUAGAUAUCUGAAGGAACAUCAGUGGCGAAGGCGACUUCCUGGACUGAUACUGACACUGAGGUGCGAAAGCGUGGGGAGCGAACAGG